rnacentral:rRNA from 1 species
GCGCCAGACUCCUACGGGAGGCAGCAGUGAGGAAUAUUGGUCAAUGGGCGCGAGCCUGAACCAGCCAAGUCGCGUGAGGGAUGACGGUCCUACGGAUUGUAAACCUCUUUUGCCGGGGAGCAAGCGUGCGUUCGUGAACGCGCGUCGAGAGUACCCGGAGAAAAAGCAUCGGCUAACUCCGUGCCAGCAGCCGCGGUAAUACGUAGGGGGCAAGCGUUAUCCGGGUUUACUGGGUGUAAAGGGAGCGUAGACGGCUGUGCAAGCCAGAUGUGAAACGCCGGGGCUCAACCCCGGGCAUGCAUUGGAAACUGGCGGGCUGGAGUACCGGAGAGGUAAGCGGAAUUCCUAGUGUAGCGGUGAAAUGCGUAGAUAUUAGGAGGAACACCAGUGGCGAAGGCGGCUUACUGGACGGCAACUGACGCUGAGGCUCGAAAGCGUGGGGAGCAAACAGGAUUAGAUACCCCGGUAAA